UACGUAGGUUCCGAGCGUUAUCCGGAUUUACUGGGCGUAAAGCGCGUUCAGGCGGUUCGGCAAGUCGGGCAUGAAAUCUCUCGGCUCAACCGGGAGAGGUUGUCCGAUACUGUUGGACUUGAGGGCAGUAGAGGGUGGCGGAAUUCCAGGUGUAGCGGUGAAAUGCGUAGAUAUCUGGAGGAACACCGGUGGCGAAGGCGGCAUCCUGGACCGGCAUUGACGCUGAGGCGCGAAAGCCAGGGGAGCAAACGGG
rnacentral:rRNA from 1 species